AGCAGCCGCGGUAAUUCCAGCUCCAAUAGCGUAUAUUAAAGUUGUUGCAGUUAAAAAGCUCGUAGUUGAAUUUCGGGAUCAAUUUGCUGGUCGUGCCUCUGGUACGUACUGGUAUUAUUGGUUUCUCCCUUCUGACGAACCAUGAUGUCAUUAAUUUGAUGUCGUGGAGAAUCAGGACUGUUACUUUGAAAAAUUAGAGUGUUUAAAGCAGGCAUUAGCUUGAAUACAUUAGCAUGGAAUAAUGAAAUAGGACGUUUGAUCCUAUUUUGUUGGUUUCUAGGAUUGACGUAAUGAUUAAUAGGGAUAGUUGGGGGCAUUAGUAUUCAAUUGUCAGAGGUGAAAUUCUUGGAUUUAUUGAAGACUAACUACUGCGAAAGCAUUUGCCAAGGAUGUUUUCAUUAAUCAAGAACGAAAGUUAGGGGAUCGAAGACGAUCAGAUACCGUCGUAGUCUUAACCAUAAACUAUGCCGACUAGGGAUCGGGUGAUGUUAAUUUUUAAUGA
rnacentral:rRNA from 1 species